GUUCGUUUUGCUGAAAGGUGGUGAGUUUAGGAAGAAUAGAGACAGGAAUGAAGGGGUGGGCUCUUCACUAGAGCGACGUCCCUGGAUUUGAAACAAUCCGAUAAAGCCGGAUCUGGCGAACCGAUUGUAGCCAGGUUGAGUUAACACCCAGUGUCUGGAGGGGGCGGGGAGCUCCGGCGCGAAAACUUCCACGACGCCCUACUUUACUCUUGCUCCACUAAGCAGCCUACCGCAAAACCCCAGGCCUCUCCAUUGCGGAGCGGAAAGGCCAUCCGUUCAUGCAUAUGCAGGAGGAUAAGUUUAGCCGGCAGCCCCCUGAGCUCAGAGCAGCCCCGCGUGGCGCUCGGGGCGGGUGCUCGGCUCCGGCCGCAGAGUGGCGGGCGGUUCAGCCACUUGCGCGCCGAGCGUCUGGGCCUGGCAUCGCCCUUUUAAAAAGUCUUCCGCAGGCGGCCGCCGCCGCAGCAGCCGGAGGAGGCAGGUUCAUUUGAGGACAGUCCCAGUUCUCAGAAAUCCCUUCCCUGCUGGAACAUCAAGCUCUCUUUGCUGCAGUUGAACAAACUGCCCUAGAUUGGGGGACGAGGAAUCCGCCCCAAACUCGUGCAAGGAGCUCCGGGCGCCCGCGCCCACGUGAGCUAACCUUGACAUUAGCCCCCCCACACCUGAGGUGGAGGUGGAGCCACGAGGGAGGGUUGCUGGCCCCUGGGGCGC
rnacentral:lncRNA from 1 species